AGAGUUUGAUCCUGGCUCAGAAUCAACGCUGGCGGCGCGCCUAACACAUGCAAGUCGAACGAGAAAGCCAGCAAUGGUGAGUAAAGUGGCGUACGGGUGAGUAACACGUGGAUCAUCUACUCUAGUGGGGAAUACCGUUCCGAAAGGGACGACAAUACCGCAUGAGCUCGAGAGAGGAAAGCAGCAAUGCGCUGGAGGAG
rnacentral:rRNA from 1 species